AAUGUUCAUGCCACUUAUGUACACAAACAUUUUCACAUACAACUGUAUAUAAUAUAUAUAUAUAUAUAUAUAUAUAUAAUAUAUUUAUUUUAUUUAUACAGAACACUGGAAAAAUAUAAAAAAUGCUCACAGUUUUUGGAAUAUCAACAAUUUCAACAAAGAUAAAAUUAGCUUUUAUCUGGAUUCACAAAAUACUAUAUAUGAUAAAUACACAAACGAAAUAUGCAACGUUUCGUUAGAUUCAAUUGCACCCCCACAAUUUUUAUACUAUUUGGAUAACCCGAUAAACGUAAAAAGCACAUUCAAUGCUUGUAUGUCUAUGGCAUUAGACGAAAUAAUUCAAGAAAUAGAAAAUAAAAAAAACUUAGAUGAAUUUGAUGAAAAACAAAAAAAUACUUUAUUAAUUAUUAAAGAAAAAGCAAAUAAAAAGUAUUUUUCCUCCAUACGAAAAAUGGAAAAAAUACUAUCAAAAUUUUUAAAUGAAAAUAAGAAAAUGUCCUUUGAUUUUUUCCUAAGGGGAUGUGAAAGCUAUGGACAUGUACUAAUGAAAUGUAAAGAAAAAUUAUUUGUAACGUUUAACAAAACAUACGGCUUACAUUUUAAAAACUUCGAAGAUUUUUGGCUUCAUGAAGAAGAAAAAAGGAAAGAAAAAUGGAAAGAACUAUGGAUAUUAAAUGAAAUAGAAAAAAAAAAAUGUGUCACUUCAUAAAAAUGGUGAUGACUUAAAUACUGCAUCAAAUAAUUAUUACAAUGAAAAUAACAAUAAUAAUAAUAAUAAUAAUAACACUAGUAACAGUAAUAACAAUUGUGACCUUAGCAACAAUAACACAAAUAAUAUUUUUAAUAAAAACACAAAUGAAGACGACA
rnacentral:lncRNA from 1 species